rnacentral:rRNA from 1 species
ACUCCUACGGGAGGCAGCAGUGGGGAAUAUUGCACAAUGGGCGCAAGCCUGAUGCAGCCAUGCCGCGUGUGUGAAGAAGGCCUUCGGUUGUAAAGCACUUUCAGUCGUGAGGAAGGUAGUGUAGUUAAUAGCUGCAUUAUUUGUACGUUAGCGACAGAAGAAGCACCGGCUAACUCCGUGCCAGCAGCCGCGGUAAUACGGAGGGUGCGAGCGUUAAUCGGAAUUACUGGCGUAAAGCGCAUGCAGGUGGUUUGUUAAGUCAGAUGUGAAAGCCCGGGGCUCAACCUCGGAAUUGCAUUUGAAACUGGCAGACUAGAGUACUGUAGAGGGGGUAGAAUUUCAGGUGUAGCGGUGAAAUGCGUAGAGAUCUGAAGGAAUACCGGUGGCGAAGGCGGCCCCCUGGACAGAUACUGACACUCAGAUGCGAAAGCGUGGGGAGCAAACAGGAUUAGAUACCCUGGUAGCACAGAG